GACGUAGGGCGCGAGCGUUGUCCGGAUUUAUUGGGCGUAAAGAGCUCGUAGGCGGCUUGUCGCGUCGACUGUGAAAACCCGCGGCUCAACUGCGGGCUUGCAGUCGAUACGGGCAGACUAGAGGUAUGCAGGGGAGAACGGAAUUCCUGGUGUAGCGGUGAAAUGCGCAGAUAUCAGGAGGAACACCGGUGGCGAAGGCGGUUCUCUGGGCAUGAUCUGACGCUGAGGAGCGAAAGUGUGGGGAGCGAACAGG
rnacentral:rRNA from 1 species